rnacentral:miRNA from 1 species
CUCUUAGGUUGGUGCAAAAGUAAUUGAGGUUUUUGCCAUCAUGGCAAAACCGUAUGUGUGUCAUUCUGCCCUGGCCCCACGCUGUAUCUUUCCCCUCUCCC